AGGCCUUCCAAGCUCUUCAAGACUAACUGGUUCCACUCGGUUAACGCGUCCAAGUGUGUCUGCAACUGGCCUAACACCAAUCAUCCACAUAACCUGUGCCAACGACUCUCCAUAAGUCUUGAUGUUAUCUGUUCCCCAAAGCACCAGAGCAACAGUUUCCGGGUACUUGCCCCCGUUGUCAAUCUUUUGCCUCUCCAACAAUCUUUCAACCACUAUCUUGGCGCUCUGCAGUGCUGCUGUUGUGGGAAUAGCCUGUGGGUCCAAAGCAUGGAUGUUUUUCCCUGUAGGCAAAACUUUCGGAUUUCUGAUUGGAUCCCCUCCAGGACCUGGUUCAACAUAUUUCCCUUCAAGAGCCUGUUUCAAGCUUCCCACCUCGUUAUUAGCCACAAUUAGCU
rnacentral:misc_RNA from 1 species